UAAGCAAAUUUGGGAGGAAAAUCGGUAACAUAAACACAAACACAAAUUUCAGGAUAAUGGGGGCCUCUCGGAACAUGGAGAAACCCGGAAGUGUCACCGGAAGACCACACAGAUGGGCGCAGUACCAUUGGUAAUGUUCUUACGUUGAAGGGUAAGUUUGUAAGUAGUCCCUUUGUUGUGUCUCAUAAAUACUUCACAUUCCAUAUAUUCUUGUGCAUGUUUCAAAUAGUAAUCAAGAAACGAUGGUGAGACUAAAACCUCCCUGGCUGCCUCAACCCUUUUGGCUGCAAUGGGCGGUCUGAGUGACAGACAGAUGCCACUCUUCCUUUCUCCAGAGAUUGCCAGUCACGGGUCCUUAAAGAAAAAAACUCAUUUUGAGUCUCAUAUUUAAUUUGAAAAAACUCUUAUAUGUAAAUUCUCAGGGGAGAGAUUGUGUAUGUGUGUGAAUACACCUUCCUUGUCACAUUUUCUUUUUCCAGAAGUGAAGUUAUUCAAUAAAUAUAUCAAGCUCAUGUGAUCUCAGAUGCUAGAAGGACUCAGAGGAAGAAAAAUAAUUAUGGGAAAAAGAGCAAUACAAUUGUAGUCCUGCUCAGACUGAUACGCUAAUAGGAAGCAAAUGUGCAGAUGGAAAGGAAAAUCUUUGUUAUCAAAUCCAUGCUACUUCAAUCUGAAGUACAGUCAUUGAACGGGUUUGACCAAGAGCAUUCCUUACACAUGGACUACAGCGUGAAUCUGCUGAGGGUCAACCAGAGAGUAAAGCCCAACUUCAGAUGAAGUGUGUUGGGUCACCAGUGCACAUAUUCUCGGAAGCUUAACAUUCUGCAUAAUGAAUGUUUUCUUAAACUUAUGUACUUGCCUGCAGCAAACUCUGACUCCAGCUUUUUGCAUGAAAAAUCCAUUUCACAAUCAAUUUGAGUGGCAAAAUUAUUUUUCUGUUUUGUUUUUGGAACGUCUGCCAAGGAGACCCGCUAUCCAUUGGUUCACGAUUACAUAAUUGUUUGUGAAAUCACAUAAAAUUCAGGUUCUUAUGGACGUGCUGCAGUAUGGAUUUUAAUGUUAAAAGUGUCUAGAUUUCAGCUUCUUUUCUUCAGUGUGGAUAUUCACGCAGACUUCAGAUGGUAGGUGAACUUAACUUUACACUCCAGUCAUUGCAAUACAUUUUUUAAAAACUUAGUUUGAAAUAGUUUAAGACUCACAAGGAGUUGAAAAAGUUAGUACAAGAUUACCUCAUGCAUCCUUCACCUAGCUUACUCCAGUAGCAUCUUACACAAUACGAAACUAAAAAUCCAGGACAUCGCCAUUGGUGUGAUAUUAUUGAUUAACCUCCAGAUGUGCUGAGGUGUCACCAGCUUUUGCAUGCACCUUCUCCUCUGGCUCUGUGUACGUGUACUUCUGUGAGGUGCUGCCAUACGUGAGCUACUUCACAUGUGCCGGACUGUCCUGCCACCGCACAGAAAGCUCCUCUUACUAACCGACUGCGGUCACGCUCUCUCCCAGCUCGAACCUCUGACAACCGCUGAUUUGCUCCUCAGCACUCUACCCUGAGUGUUGUAUAAGUGGAG
rnacentral:lncRNA from 1 species